CCUUCUCUUGCCCUCUGGCCAGGACUGAAUGCCAUAGACUUCCCCAGAUUGCCCGGGCCCGCCCUGCCCUCCUCUAAGCCUCCGGGUGUCAGUGAAUCUUUCCAGGAAGCAUAUUCACCUGUACUCCAAGAAGAGAGGCCCCAGAGUCCUCAUCAAGGAGGGCCCCCAAGUCUAUGGGUCCCCACAGUCUGAAGCUCUGUUCUGGCCUUAGGGAGGCAAGAAAUGGGCCCCAAGAAACUGAAAACAGGGCCCCACGGGAGCCAUAGAGCCCAGGAGCAUGCAUGGUUCUGGCAUUAAAGACGGGAAAGGCCUCGCAACACAAAGGGUCCUGAAAAACCCCAAGUUUCAGGUGGCUGUCACUGGCUGGAACCUGCAGACCAGGGCUGUGCAGAAGACCACCCAUCCACUUCUCCUGAGCCUCCUCCUGAGGAGGAGACAAGGGAACCAUGCCACUGUGAGGCCAAGGAGCUGGGGUCCAAUAUGUGCAAGGAACCUUUCAGAAGAAAGCAGGAAGGAAGAGAGAGUGGCCUGAAUCUUGGAUGACCACACUUUCAAGCCUCUGUAAGGAAGUGCCCUCUUCGCUUCCGGGAGAGCCGCGCGUAUACUCAGAAUGAAGCCUGGAGAAGUGAGUGUACCCACGCUCAGGGCAACAUUCCUCACCCCCGGCUGAGCCCUGUCCCAGCCCCCCACCUGCAGUAUCGGCCAGGCCGGUUAGGUCACAGUGGAGUGGCUCAGACCUGUUGGCCCUGCACCCUGGCAGCUCGCCAGCACCUCCCCAGGCAGCCUGCCAUCAGCUAGGCCUCUCACUAUCGCAGAGACUCAUUCCAGGUCCCUCAGACCCAGAAAGCCCCCCAGGGCCUGUGUGCUGUGUGCUCAGCAUUUCCUCCCUGGCUUUCUGCCCCUCCAAGCAGCCCCCACUCCACACUACAGCACAGUCCUAUGUAGUGUGAUGAGGUGGAGCCUCAUAGGCUUCAGGCUGAUCCUCAGCUCUGCCACUUAGGCUGUGUGACUUCAGGCAAAUGCCUUAACCUCUCUCAGUCACAGCUUCCACAUCAUUUAAAUGAAAACCUUGCCUGGCUUGAGGGGUGGUUGUGAGGAUUUGGUGGGAUAAUACACAUCAAGCACUUAAAUGGGGCCUGGCACACAAUGUACAUAGAGCAUCUAAUUUCCAGGUGCUCAGCUUCUUCCUUUUUCUUUUCUGAGACUGGCUCUCACUGUAUCACCCAGGCUGGUGUGCAGUGGUGUGAUCACAGCUCACUGCAGCCUUGACCUCCUAGGCUCAAGCGAUCCUCCAGCCUCAGUCUCUGGAUGGAGCUAGGAUUUACUAGGCGUGUGCCACCACACUCAGCCAUUUUUAUUUAUUGUUUUGUAGAGACAGGGGUCUCACUAUGUUGCCCAGGCUGGUCUCAAACUCCUGGCUUCAAGUGAUGCUUCCACCUCCGCUUCCUAAAGUGCUGGGAUUACAGGCAUGAGCUACCAUGCCCAGCCAAUUUUUUCUUUCAAAAGUAAUUUAUGGAAUGAAGUGCCAGCCAAGCACUGUGAUCACAGCUUUACAUGCAUUACCACAUUCAAUCCUCAUGAUAAACUCUCAAGAGAGUGUUAUGGGUUCAAGUGUCCUACCAAAAACAUAUGAAAAACAUGUGAAUGCCUAAGCCCCAGUA
rnacentral:lncRNA from 10 species